AUGGAUUUUAGAGCGCCAUUUUGAACGCAACGUCCAAACGAAGGGCUAUCACGAUUUGCGUUUGCUUCUUUGGACUCAAAACAGCUUUGAAACUCAUCCUGGACUGGUUCUUUAACAGCACCUGAGGGCGGGAGACAGCAGGUUAUGUGUCCAGGUCUUUCUCGCACACCUUCCUCGACCCCAUCACUCCCACCUGAGAAGUCUUCCAACCCUAGAAACUGCAAACAAUGACAGACCGACAACCUCUGACGUGUUUACGAUUGCAAAGCACUGUCACUUCUAAAUCUGGGUCUGAUGAAAGAGAGGAAUAAGGAGAAGACACAUGCAGCAUGCACCCAUCGUCUGCUAACUGAGCCGCCUUUGACGACUUUCAGGAUCCUGCCACAGAUCCUCGGAUGAAGCCUUCAGUGGAGCUGGCAGCUUAUAUGGCACUUUGCCCGUGCUUGCAUCCCUCUGCCGACUUGUUGCAUUGUCACAUAUUAUGUAUUUAAAUCCCCUUGUGUCGUUCUGUCACAACACUGUCUGGUUCUCAGUGGCUCUGAGGUGACUUUAAUGCAACAGGCGAUGAGACACUCUUCGUGACUUCAAGAGGACCUAACUUAGAUUAAUAUUAGAGAG